rnacentral:lncRNA from 1 species
UCCCACUCAAAACCUCUCCAAUUGUUGACUCGAUUCGCUCAGUUAAGGCUUCCGCCAAAGCUUUUCCUAAAAAAAAAGCAUCUAGAACGGUCCUGCUGUCACCAUCACCUGCAUCACACAGCCAGAUCAUUAGAUUCUUGAUAAAAGUAACAAAACUAGAAGAUCUAUAUCACAGAUAUAAAAAGGCUUUUUCCACAGUGUCUGUUGGAUUCUCUUCUCCUACGAGAUCAAUAUCAUCUUCUUAAAGUUGUCUAUCUUUCCUCCUUUCUUAUAACAUCAAUUUGCAUAAGGCUGAUACAGAGAAUGAAUAAUUCUAUGGAAAGGGCAUAUGAGUAUUCCAUUGCAUACAGAUUCCAUUGAAUGAACUCUUAUUGAGCAAGCUCUCAUUGAAAUCAGAGGCAAAACUAUGGUUAAAGGCCUAAAUACAAGAAGUUAAGAUCUAUUCGGUCCUUCAGCAGAUUCUUCCUCAAUCCAUACCAAUUAUUCAUCAAACCUCCAAGUUUUCACCAAAAAGCAAAGAGUAUCAUUUUUCCUCCUCCACGUCAUUAGAAGCAGAAGUUUCAUAAUUUGGCCAAAUUUCAGAUUUAAGUUCAAGGAAAAUGAAAUCCUAGCCUAACAAACAAAUUAGCUCUUAAUGCAGUGAGUUGAAGAAAACUAAUCAUAACAAAAUUAGGCCAACUUGACACUCAAUAAAACCAUUGACAAUAGAUCAAACAGUUUGUAGUCAUAGAAUCAGAUAGCUUCGAACGAGAAGUAAAACCAAUAUUGUUUUACGAAAUCCAAAAAAAAGACAAACAGAUACGCAGAGAUUCACUCAAAUAUCAGAAUUAAUAACAGAUUCACCACAAACACCAUCGUGAAAUCCCAUAAAUAAGUAACAAGAGAUUGGAAAACAAAAACAAAGGAGGCAAAGAAUAAAGGUACCAGAGCUGCAACGAGCUAAGAAUCUGGAAGGCCCAUUGGGUUGAAAAUGUGAAAUUCCACGAAAUUUGAGAUUUGAAGGAGUGGAAGAGGAGCGAAAUAGAAGGAGAGAUGGAGGUGAAUAAUGGGUAAUUUUUGGUUUAGUGGUCACAAGUGAAAAAGGAGAUUGGGAAACAGAAGAUGUAACCCCACUACUCAUAUUGUGCGAUGGAAUGGAAAACUACACGGCGUCACUUUCUCAGAGUUUCUCGCAAGUUUUCUUG